rnacentral:rRNA from 1 species
CCUACGGGAGGCAGCAGUAGGGAAUAUUGGACAAUGGGUGCGAGCCUGAUCCAGCCAUGCCGCGUGCAGGAAGAAGGCCUUCUGGGUUGUAAACUGCUUUUGCCGGGGGAUAAAAGACCCAUGCGUGGGGAAUUGAAGGUACCCGGUGAAUAAGCCACGGCUAACUACGUGCCAGCAGCCGCGGUAAUACGUAGGUGGCGAGCGUUGUCCGGAUUUAUUGGGUUUAAAGGGUGCGUAGGCGGCCCCGUAAGUCAGUGGUGAAAUACGGCAGCUCAACUGUCGAGGUGCCAUUGAUACUGCGGGGCUUGAGUACAGUCGAGGUAGGCGGAAUUGACGGUGUAGCGGUGAAAUGCUUAGAUAUCGUCAAGAACACCGAUAGCGAAGGCAGCUUGCUAGGCUGUAACUGACGCUGAGGCACGAAAGUGCGGGGAUCAAACAGGAUUAGAUACCCUGGUAGUCCGCACAGUAAACGAUGGUCACUCGGUGUUGGCGGUACACGGCCAGCGCCUUAGCGAAAGCGUUAAGUGACCCACCUGGGGAGUACGCCCGCAAGGUGAAACUCAAAUGAAUUGACGG